GGCUGUGAGUUGGCUUAAUCUCAGCUGGCAACUGUGAGAUGUUCAAACAGUCCCCCACAGUGGUCUCUGGGAUUAUGCUAAACAGAGCA
rnacentral:pre_miRNA from 1 species